CUCUUCUUUCAUACAGUUGUGUGACAUGACAACUUUCUGCCACGAUUGGCUCUCACAUACUACAGAGCCUUAGAGAGUGAACAAGUUGUGCUUUCUGAGGGAGGCAGAUUUUUUCCUGACAUGGCUUCAGAAAUCACUUAUGCAGAAGUGAGGAUCACAAAAGAAUCCAACUCCUUGGGCACCUACUCAAAAUGUCCUGCAGCUGCCAGAGAGAAACAUCCCUGUCAGCUAAGUAAGCCUGGUUCCCCCUCGCUGCUUUUUACAUCCCUGAUGGUAUUUCUCCUGCUGCUGGCAAUCACAUUCUUAGUUGUUUUCAUCAUUUAUUUUCAAAAGUACUCUCAACUUCUUGAAAAAAAAGCUAUAAAAGAUAUAACUCACAAUGAACUGCACUGCACAAAAAAUGUUUCACUCAUGGAAGACAAAGACUGGAGCUGUUGCCGGAAGGAUUGGAAACCAUUUGGUUCCUACUGCUACUUCAUUUCAAAUGACUUAGAGGCAUCUUGGAAUGAGAGUAAGGAGAACUGCUCCCUCAUGGGUGCUCAUCUGGUGGUGAUCCACAGCCAGGAAGAGCAGGAUUUCAUCACCGGGAUCCUGGAGACUGGUGCUGGUUAUUUUAUAGGGCUUUUAGAUGCUGGUCAAAGACAAUGGCGCUGGGUUGAUCAGACACCAUACAAUAAGAGUGCCACAUUCUGGCACAGUGGUGAGCCCAACCAAGCCUCUGAACAAUGUGUUAUAAUAAAUCAUCGUAAGAAUACUGGAUGGGGCUGGAAUGAUAUCCCUUGCAGUGAUAAACAGAAGUCAGUUUGUCAGGUGAAGAAAAUACACUUAUGAACCACAUAUUCUCCAUGGGCACACCAUUGCAUUGUUACCUGUUGUUACAUGGACAACUGGGAAGUUCUGUAAAUGGAAGAGUUUUUCACAGAAUUUAAGUGGGAAACAAAUGGUUAUGUGUAAUGAAACAUUGGCCCACAUAUAUUCUUGCAUAGUCAUCCACGUAUUUAGUCAUAAAAUGAGCUUUUGUUGAGAAUUUUCUGUGUAGCAUCGACUAUAUAGGGACCCACUUGUGCACACAUGAUGCUUUGCUGCCAACUCCCCAUGAUGCUUUGCUGCCAACUCCCCAUGAUGCUUUGCUGCCAACUCCCCAUGAUGCUUUGCUGCCAACUCCCCAAGCUUUCAUUUACUCAUGCCAUUGUAUGGCACAGUGGGAGUGUGUGAUGUCAUGAGGAGGUACCUGGGAUACCGAUGCAGACAAGUGAGCAGGCUGAAGUGAUGGAGUGGACCAAGACAGCAGAGCCACAGGAAUUUGAAGGAAGUGUGUUAUCUCAGAGCCAGCAGUCCUUGAGAAAACAAGAAACCAAUCGUUGAAAGGGGGAUGUAAAAACAAAGGAUUUCAUUGGAAGACUGUGACACGUAAGAUGGAAUGGAGUCUGCUGGUCCCUGAGACUCUGGUCAGCCACUGUGAUUUCCAUCUUACUCCUCAGCACCUGUUUCAUUGUGAGCUGUGUGGUGACUUACCAGUUUAGCAUGGACAAGC